rnacentral:lncRNA from 1 species
GACUAGGAUCCAUGAAGAUGUGAGUUCGAUCCCUGGCCUUGCUCAGUGGUUAAGGAUCUGGCAUUGUGGUGAACUGUGGUGUAGGUCACAGACACCGCUUGGAUCCCACCUUGCUGUGGCUGUGGUGUAGGCCUGCAGCUGUAGCUCGGAUUCCACCCUUAGCCUGGGAACUUCCACAUGCCAUUGGUGCAGCCUUAAAAAGAAAAAAAAAAAAAGACACUUUAAAUAUAUAAGAUUAUAGAAAUGUUGAAUACAAAUGUAUGAAGUGUUUGUAUAUGCAAAUUCUAAUGAAAAGAAAACUGGAGUAGCUUUAAUAACAUCAGACCAAGCAGACUUCAUUUUAUUUAUUUAUUUCUCUUUUUAGGGCCACACCCACAGCAUAUGGAGUUUCCCAGGCUAGGGGAUUGGAGCUGUAGCCUCUGGCCCAUACCUCAGCCACAGCAACACCAGAUCCGAGCCACAUCUGUGGCCUACACCACAGGUCACGGCAACACCAGAUCCUUAACCCACUGAGCGAGGCCAGGGAUCAAACCGCAACCUCAUGGUUCCUAGUAGGGUUCUUUUCCACUGCACCACAAUGGGAACUCCCAAGUAGACUUUAAAACAAGAAUUAGUGGAGGUAGCAAGGGCUUCUUUCUAAAGAUUAAAAGGUCAAUUUAUUAGAAGAUUUUAAAUUUGUAGGCACCAAUAACGGUUUUAAAAAUAUACAUAGAUACAUCUAUUUUUGACAGACCUGGAGCAGUCAACAUCUGCUGCUAAGGUUUCCACUACAGAGGCAAGAAAAAGUGUUUCAUGAUUUCUGGCCUUUUGAUUGUGGUGGCCAGAUUGAAUGAGGACAUACAGGAGGAGAAAAAUUUUAAAUUCAGAAAUGAUUAAACUAAUAAUUUUUCUUUCUGCUAUCACUUUUCAGAAAUAGCAUGUCUCUACGUUUUAAAACUUUUUAAUAUGCUUUGCUAAAUAUAGUGAGUUUGGUUUCUCCAUAUUAUUUGCCAAGGGCUCAGAGGGGUGUGCCCUGCAUACAACAUUGAAGUAUAGUGUUGAAUAAGCUUUCUCACCAACAGCUUGCAUUAGAAUGUUGGUUCUGCCAUUCCAUCAAUUUCUUUAUGCCUCAGUUUACCAAUCUGCAGAAUGGCACUAAUAGUUGCGGCCCCUUCAAAGAAUUACCGUGAAGCUUAAAUGUGCUAAUUUUAUGUCAAAUACUUAAAACAGGGUGUGAUAAGUGAGAAAUGUUGGUGAAUAUAGUUAUAGAACAUAUUUUGUAUAUCUAUGUCUAUAAGAGAUACUCUUAGAACAUCUUUAAGAAGAACUUCAACAGAAGGCUGCAAGUUAGUAGUUCUGAGAUGAAUCCCAGAAAAAAUAAGCUUUUGAAGUCAGGCUGGACAGAUCUGCAUAAAACUGCUUACCCUUGAUAAUUUACUUAAUGUUUCUCAUACUUGGUUUUCUUUUCUGUACCAAAAAAAGAAAAAAGUAGUCACCUUGACUUGCUGGGUUGUUGUGAAGUUCUGAAGGAAAAUAUGUAGGCCCCCGACCCCCUUUGCCUGCAGAAGUGAAAGCCUUUCAUCCAUGGAGGAUGUUAGUAUCUUGACACUCUCUGUUGGCUGUGCAUGCAAGAUAUUGUUCACUGAAAUAGUCAUUUCUGAUCUAAACAGGAAGCCACAUCUAAAAUGAAAGUUCACUAAAUCCUAAAUAUUGCAAAAACAUAAUGGAAUUAACAUCUAGCUGGGCAUGGUUUUCAAAGUGAUAAAAGGAGUGACAUCUAGUGGCUUUCUGGUAGUACUGCAUUGCAGGCAUUUUUUUCUUUUUUUCUUUUUCUUUUUCUUUUUUGGCUGACUUGGCUCUCAUAAUUAGGGAGCCAUGGUACAUCCAAAAUCCAUAGGGCAGGCCAGCAGACUGGAGACCCAGGGGUUUCGGUUCCAAUUCAAGUCCAAAGGCGAACGAACUGCUAGCCAAAUUCCUUCUUGGUCUUCAGAUCCAGAGGACAUGCCCCCAAGAUCGAGAUGACAUUUUAGGGGAUUCCUAAGUGUAGCAGGCCUGUGGGAGGAGUAUAAAUAAUGUGUGGCCAGAAGGGGAUUAUGGCAGAGUAAAGAGGCCUGCACAUUCUUUGAGCCCCUUCUCAUUGAGAGGGGCGCGAUGUCUUCUAACACUUUGAAUCUGCAACUGCUUUGAUAAUGGAGUGCAAUAGAAGUGACACUAUGUCUGCUUUGGCCCAGCCUGCAAUAGAACUGACAGCUUCUGCCUUGGUUUCUUGGAGCCCUGAGCAGCCCCGUAGGAGUUCUGACUAUUUGGGGAGGUCUUGAGACUACAUGGGAGAAGGGCCCAGCUGCGCUCAGCCUUCCAGGAUCCCCACAGCCCGAAGUGAUGUGAUAAGUAGGGGAAACCCUCUUGAAGCCUCCGGCCCAGCCCAGUGGCCAAGUAAAGAGCACUGAAUAACCCAGAUCAGUGAUAUAUAGAGCGGCAGAAUCACCCAGCCAAGUCUUCCUGGAAUUCCUGAAAUAGGUGGCUUGUGAGCAUAACCAAAGGAUGGUUGUUUUAAUCCUGGAAGUUUGGGGUGGUUUGUUAAACAGUAAUAGAUACCGGGGACAUACACACAUGUCACAUCCUAGCUGAGUGACCUCGAACAUGGUAUGUGAGGUGUCUGCCAUUGGUAUCUUCAUCAGUGAAAUUGGAUACUAGUAGCUAUUUAUCACGGGUG